AUACUCAAUGCAGUCAGCGUGGGUAGUUCAGGAACUGAUGGAUUCUGGUUUGGUCUGAGAGCUGAAGGAGGGAGAUGGAAGUGGAUUGAUGGAAGUGAUCUGACUGAAAGCUACUGGACACCACAGCCUCCUCCUGCUACUGACGGUCAGUGUGUAAUGUCUGUCCAGAACUAUAACUGGAUAUCAGUGAGCUGUGGUGAGAAAAAAAGAUGGAUCUGCAAAAUGAAGGCUUUAUCUGUUUAAACACAGCAGUCAGACUCUGCAUGAUAAUAUCAACUGGCUUAUAAAUA